rnacentral:rRNA from 1 species
AGAUGGGCACGCGCAAGAUUAGAUAGUUGGUGAGGUAACGGCUCACCAAGUCAAUGAUCUUUAGGGGGCCUGAGAGGGUGAUCCCCCACACUGGCACUGAGACACGGACCAGACUCCUACGGGAGGCAGCAGUGAGGAAUAUUGGACAAUGGGUUAGCGCCUGAUCCAGCCAUCCCGCGUGAAGGACGACGGCCCUAUGGGUUGUAAACUUCUUUUGUAUAGGGAUAAACCUACUCUCGUGAGAGUAGCUGAAGGUACUAUACGAAUAAGCACCGGCUAACUCCGUGCCAGCRGCCGCGGUAAUACGGAGGGUGCAAGCGUUAUCCGGAUUUAUUGGGUUUAAAGGGUCCGUAGGCGGAUCUGUAAGUCAGUGGUGAAAUCUCACAGCUUAACUGUGAAACUGCCAUUGAUACUGCAGGUCUUGAGUAAAUUUGAAGUGGCUGGAAUAAGUAGUGUAGCGGUGAAAUGCAUAGAUAUUACUUAGAACACCAAUUGCGAAGGCAGGUCACUAAGAUUUAACUGACGCUGAUGGACGAAAGCGUGGGGAGCGAACAGGAUUAGAUACCCUGGUAGUCCACGCCGUAAACGAUGCUAACUCGUUUUUGGGGUUUCGGCUUCAGAGACUAAGCGAAAGUGAUAAGUUAGCCACCUGGGGAGUACGUUCGCAAGAAUGAAACUCAAAGGAAUUGACGGGGGGCCCGCACAAGCGG